UUCCGUUGCCUGCUCCGGUUGAUUGAGGGCCACUGCUGUGCCGGGAGCCGCUUUCAAGGACCUGGGCUCCUUCCAGCUCCUCCCCCAGGAGCCUGGAGGUUGGGACCAGGAUGCCUGUCUCCAUCAACACUGUGGUCCUUAACUAACGAGCGAGUGUCAGGAGUGAACACACAGAUGGGAAGAUUCAGCCGCGUCAACAAAUAGCAAGGUCUGUGGAGAAGCCAGCUGCCAUGUCAUGAGGACACGCAAGCGACCCUGGUGGAGAAGUCUACACGGGGAACAAAGUCCUCCCCCACCAAUAACCAUGUGAGGAAAUCGUGACUCCGAGAGGUCAACGCUCUGGGAUGUCCUAGCAAAGCCACCGGCAAAGGCAGAGGGACGGUUUCGUCUUCCCGGCUGGCAACGCUGCUCGUUCAACUCCCGUCCCCCUCUGAGUCCUCUAGGGACCUCACGUAAGUGGGAUCAUACGAUAUUUGUCCCCUUUCAGUCAGCCCCGUGUCCCUGAUGUUCAUUGACGUUCGUAACAUAGACCCAGAAGCGAUGGCUAGAA